rnacentral:rRNA from 1 species
AACGAACGCUGGCGGCGCGCCUAACACAUGCAAGUCGAACGAGAAUCCGGGGCAACCCGGUAGUAAAGUGGCAAACGGGUGAGGAAUACAUGGGUAACCUACCCUUGAGAAGGGAAUAACCCGCCGAAAGGUGAGCUAAUACCCUAUACGCUUCUCUUUUUAUUGAAAGUGAAGGAAAGCUAAGCCGUGGGCUUGGCGCUCAAGGAGGGGCUCAUGUCCUAUCAGCUUGUUGGUAGGGUAACGGCCUACCAAGGCAACGACGGGUAGCUGGUCUGAGAGGAUGAUCAGCCACACUGGCACUGAGAUACGGGCCAGACUCCUACGGGAGGCAGCAGUGAGGAAUAUUGCGCAAUGGGCGAAAGCCUGACGCAGCGACGCCGCGUGGGGGAUGAAGGUUCUCGGAUUGUAAACCCCUUUUGUGAGGAAAGAGAAAGUGGGUAACCACUUAGACGGUACCUCAAGAAAAAGCCACGGCUAACUUCGUG